rnacentral:misc_RNA from 1 species
UGUUACCGUCCAAAAUACAAAGCUCUUCUAAGCUCACGGACGCCCUUUCCUUAAUAAAAGUGCUCCAAAGUAGGGUGACUUUGGACCAAAAUCCACAAUUUUAAUUUAGAUUUAAUUUUAAUUUAAAUCAAUGACAUAAUUUUUUACAGAAAAUAAAUUUUAAUUCAGAAUAAAUAAUCUUUUAUAAAUGAAGAACCACUAAGUCCGUCAGUGCAGCUUUGCUCUUUGAAACAAGCAAUUAACUAACCUAAUUUAAGAUAUUGGGAUUUGGGUGAUUUAGCGUUAAUUGGAAGAGAUAUUAGUAUCCCUACAAUUUUACUCAUAAACAUGAAAAUGAAAUCCACGCAUUGUCUCAAAAUUUUCUUUCAACAAUACCCGAAAUCCAUGUCCAUCCACUUCCUCUUCAAUCCCAUCUUUAUGAACAUUCAACCACCAACUUAAAUAAAAGAGAAAAAAUCUGAAUCGGGGAUGGCUCUUAAUUCCUCUAUUCCCAUUUCUCAAACCUUAAUUAGCUCUCAUCCAUCAGUUCUUUACAGAUCAAGAUUCAAGAAGAAUAAACAUCUCAAUUUUCACAUUGGAUCAUGGAAAUUCAAAAUUGGCUUUGCAUUCCUUAAUUAAGCAACAGCAACAGUGCCCGUCCGUACGGUUUUAUUUGGGGAAGUCUCCUCUGCCUCUGAUUUCCUCAGAGAUCUACUAGAGGAAGACGACAGUUUCCAGUUCUUUUUCUUUCUGCACUCAUCCAUGUCUAUCUGCUCCUGUCUGCACUCUUUGCUACAAAACGGUGUAUUCCCUCUGCAAUUAUAUUACAUAUUUCAAGUCCCAUUAGAAAACGAACAGAACUAUUUGAUUAUUAAUAUUUAUCAAAACAAAGCCAGUCAGUCGUCUUUGAUUCUAAUAGAUUCCCCAAAUUCAAAUCUAUACUAAAUCAGAGUAGAGGAGGGCCGGCUAACCUGUACAUGAAGAUAUCAGUGUUACACCCAAGCGGUUUCCGGCAAAGAAAACAUGCUUCAAGGAAGUGAGGCUCGUGGCCGUAGUAAGACAUGAUCGAUCUUUACGUUAAAGAAUGAAAUAAAAAAACCCAGCGUUUAAAGCUCUGGUAAGCAGACGCUGAAAGAAGGAGAAGGAAGCAAUUCCGGGACGGAAAAACAGAGCCCAGCUCUAAGCUAGGCACUGGAUGACGUAUUUAAAGUGCAGUUCCACAGAAUCAGGUGCUGUAUGGACCACGCUAGUUGGGUACUCUACGUCAGCCACGUCCCUUGGUCUGGUAUGAAAAUGAAUUUGAUUGGUAGAAAA